rnacentral:rRNA from 1 species
AUUGAACGCUGGCGGCAUGCUUUACACAUGCAAGUCGAACGGCAGCGCGGGCUUCGGCCUGGCGGCGAGUGGCGAACGGGUGAGUAAUGCAUCGGAACGUGCCCCGUAGUGGGGGAUAGCCCGGCGAAAGCCGGAUUAAUACCGCAUACGACCUGCGGGUGCAAGCGGGGGACCGAAAGGCCUCGCGCUCUUGGAGCGGCCGAUGCCGGAUUAGACAGUUGGUGGGGUAAAGGGUUACCAAGGCGACGAUCCGUAGCUGGUCUGAGAGGACGACCAGCCACACUGGGACUUGAACACGGCCCCGACGCCUACGGGAGGCAGCAGUGGGGAAUUUUGGACAAUGGGGGCAACCCUGAUCCAGCCAGGCCGCGUGCGGGAAGAAGGCCUUCGGGUUGUAAACCGCUUUUGUUCGGGAAGAAAUCCUCUGGGCUAAUACCCCGGGGGGAUGACGGUACCGGAAGAAGAAGCACCGGCUAACUACGUG